UUACAAGAAGAAUACUUCGAAAUAUCUGUAAUAUAGAAAAUUAUCGAUGUAUUUAAAUUAUAUGAUCACAAGACCGGUAACUUGACAUUCGCAACAUAAACGAAUUUGAUUGGUUGAUUUUGAAAAAUUCAAUAUAUUCAUAAAAACAAGCAUGGAUAUUGGUUAUAUCUCAGGUAAGGUUAUAUAACAUUGCGUGAUGGUGAAUAAUGGAAGGGAGUAUUCCCCUUCUCUAGACUGUCUCAGCUCGAGCAUUAUUAGUUCUACACAUGAUAGAGUAACUGCGGAACGUAGUGACAUUGCUGUAUGAUUAUGGUUAUUGCAAAUAUAUAUAGUAUUCCAAAUAAAUAUUGGCAACCAUCAUUUGUAGCAUUUAAGAUGAUCAUGGGUAAAAUAGUGAUUAAACUAUAUUGGAAGCAUAUAUCAUUUAUAUGAGGAAGAAAUUUUUUUUGAACAAUAUGGGAAUAAUAUUUCAUAAAAUUCUCUUAAAUUUUAUGAUAUAAG